rnacentral:lncRNA from 1 species
AAAAACAGUAAUGAAAAAUCAAUAUUUAGCUUUACCCACCAUUAAAUCUCUUCAUUGGGGAAUAAAUAGAUAUAGGUGAGAAUUUCUACUCACUUUUAGUGCACAAAUCUCGAGGCAGCCGCAAAGCAACAGCCCCACCAACUCAUUUGUCUCUUCUCCUUAGUUUAUCAGCAAAGUUAAACUUCAUUCUUCUUUGGUCUUUCUUUAUUUCAGUCACCUCAACGUACAAUAGUUUUUUCCGUGUUUGUCCUUCCGUUUCUCUCUCUUGCCUUCUCUUUCUUUCAUCUUCUUUCUCUGACCUUGGGCGGCUGUUAUAACGGCUAGUGAAUGCUAAAAGAAAAAAAGUCAACUAGGUUUUUCUGCA